rnacentral:lncRNA from 1 species
GCCAGCUGAUGUCUCCUGAGCUAGAGAAGAACCUGUAAUGGCAUUUCUGCAGCACUUUGUCAUGCGUAAUCAUGAUUGAGAAUGUGGACCGCAUGCAUCAAGUAACAGAAAUGCUAAGAAAACGGUGGUAGCAAUAUCGCAGGUAGUAUUGUCGGCAUAAAUGACGGAUGAAUAGCAUCAAUACAAGCCUGGACGUUUUAAGUUGCCGGACGCUGUUGUUCAGCAGUCGCGUGAUGUGCUGGAAGAGCGACAGACUGAUCCAUCCGAAGCGUCGAUAACAAAGCCUUGUUUCUAGGCUCUCGCUUACCAUUAUUGCACACAGGCGGCACUGCGAUAUCUACAGUCUUUCGAACGUCAUUUCGGGACGUGAACGAGUCUGAGGCUUUCCCUCGUCUGCUCCCUAGCAGUAGUGUAGAAUCAGUAAUCCUGGUUUGUUUGGUUCUAUCGUCCCACUAACUGUUUUUCUUUGUGCGCCCCUGAGAUGCAGCACUAAUUCACGUCUGCUCUACAGAAAUGCACUGAUCUGCCAUACGCAGCUUUAUGCGUCGGGCGGUGCCGUCGCUAUUAUUUCCCAGACGGUACGGUUCGUUGGCCAACAUGCGCUGCAAAUACGGCUCGUUUCUGUUUCAAAACUCCUGGUUAAACGGUACUCCAUAGUGUUGCCCGUGUGUUUGUUGUCGCAGCUGGUAAGUGAAAUACGUGCGCCUUACGUAAGUCCCAUUCCCAUGCUGAUGGCUACGUACACGAAUGAAGUGAAACGUGCAUCGGGUCUGAGAUUACUAGGUAGGAGACAGAGAGCAGAAAAAAGCGACAAUAUGGUAGGAUGCUGCCUGGCGUUUGCUUUCAGCUGGAUAGAGCCGGCGGAGAUAGCUACAUGCGACCAAUGUAGAAACAAGAUAAAACGUUUGCGCUUGGAGCACGAUAUCGUGUCAUCCUCGAAAGACCGUUGAGUUCGCGGCACUUGCGUUAAAGAAUUGUUUCCGCAUUUCCAGAUACGAAGACAUGAUGCGGUGAUUUUGCCAUCAUUUUUUGAGGCAUGGCUUUUCUUGCUCAUACAUCACGGUAUCCUCGAAGGUGGUUGCUUCUCUGCUUCAGGCGCUGGUAAGAUUUGUCUUUGUUGAGUCGAUCUCGUGGACGCCCCAGCUUGGAAUCCGACAAGGUCUACUCUCGUGGGUGUGCGUCCUCAAUAUAAUGUGCGGGUGUGUCAUGCGAUUAGCAAUAUAUUAUUUCGGGACCAAUGCAUUUUUCUCGAGGACUUUGUGGCAGUUCAGUGAAUGAGCGAAAGUCAUAUUCGGAAUGAAUAUGUUAAUUGCUAUGCAUACCUUGCUCACUGCACAUUCCCCGUCCAAUGAUCCUCUCCUUAACGUCGCAUCUGUGUUCGUGCCAGGAGCGGUUUUGAAAUUGUCUUAAACACUGUCACCGCAGAAUUGUUGGAGACACCAUUCAUGGCUGUAUAUGACCCCCGUUGCCUGCAGCGGCGAAACAAAGCCCACGAGCACAUCCUGGAAGGGGGUAGUCUAUAUGAAAAUAUAAACGACGGGAAUUUCCUUUUCUCGAAUGUCAACCGGAUCAGGUUAUUAUGGUACGAUAUCUCACACCCAGCAUUGACUCAGAGGAUACCGCGCACGUCUUUUUAUGAAGACAUCAGUUCGUCGACGGGCGGCAUUUCUGCAACUGCAAAACGUUUCUUUAUUUUCAUCGCACAGUUAAUGCUGGUCCGGCAAACACCCACCCUCAG